AUUUAAAUAGUUUAACUAAAAUAUUAAUUUGUGGAAUUGAAGAUUAUAUUGUAUAUUUAAGU
rnacentral:tRNA from 2 species